AUUGAACGCUGGCGGCAGGCCUAACACAUGCAAGUAGAGCGGAGCGGCGGAGGGGGGAGUAAUGCCUAGGAAUCUGCCUGGUAAUGGGGGAUAACGUCCGGAAACGGGCGCUAAUACAGCAUCCUAUCAGAUGAGCCUCGGUCGGAGUAGCUAGUUGGUGGGGUAAAGGCCUACCAAGGCGACGAUCCGUAACGGGUCUGAGAGGAUGAUCAGUCACACUGGAACGGAGACACGGUCCAGACUCCUACGGGAGGCAGCAGUGGGGAAUAUUGGACAAUGGGCGAAAGCCUGAUCCAGCCAUGCCGCGUGUGUGAAGAAGGUCGUCGGAUUGUAAAGCACUUUAAGUUGGGAGGCGUUACCAACAGAAUAAGCACCGGCUAACUUCGUGCCAGCAGCCGCGGUAAUUC
rnacentral:rRNA from 1 species